rnacentral:rRNA from 1 species
AAUGAACGUUGGCGGCGUGGAUUAGGCAUGCAAGUCGAGCGAGAAUCGUAGCAAUACGAGGACAGCGGCGAAAGGGAGAGGAAUACGUAGAAAUCUACCCCUGAGACCGGGAUAGCGUCGGGAAACUGGCAGUAAUACCGGAUAAUGUCUUAGGACCAAAGGUGUGAUUCCACUUGGGGAUGAGUCUACGCCCUAUUAGCUAGUUGGUGGGGUAAUGGCCUACCAAGGCGAUGAUGGGUAGCGGGUGGGAGAGCAUGACCCGCCUCACUGGGACUGAGAACUGCCCAGACACCUACGGGUGGCUGCAGUCGAGAAUCUUUGUCAAUGGACGAAAGUCUGAACAAGCGACGCCGCGUGCGGGAUGAAGGCCUUCGGGUUGUAAACCGCUGUCGUAGGGGAACAAAUGUACGGGGGUACUCCCCUGUAUUUGAGUGAUCCUAGGAGGAAGGAGAGGCUAAGCUCGUGCCAGCAGCCGCCGUAA